rnacentral:rRNA from 1 species
CGGGUGCACUGAUCCAGCCGGGCCUUUCCCUCUGUGGAACCCCAUGGCCUUCACUGGCUGGGGGUGGGGGAAACAGGGACUUUUACUUUGAAAAAAAUUAGAGGUGCUUCCCAGGGCAGGGCCUAUGCUCGAAUACAUUAGCAUGGAAUAAUAGAAUAGGACGUGUGGUUCUAUUUUGUUGGUUUCUAGGACCGCCGUAAUGAUUUAUAGGGACAGUCGGGGGCAUCAGUAUUCAAUUGUCAGAGGUGAAAUUCUUGGAUCUAUUGAAGACUAACUACUGCGAAAGCAUUUGCCAAGGAUGUUUUCAUUGAUAAGGAACGAAAGUUAGGGGAUCGAAGACGAUCAGAUACCGUCGUAGUCUUAACUAUAAACUAUGCCGACUAGGGAUCGGACGAUGUUAUUCUUUGACGCGUUCGGCACCUUUCGAGAAAUCAAAGUGCUUGGGCUCCAGGGGGAGUAUGGUCGCAAGGCUGAAACUUAAAGAAAUUGACGGAAGGGCACCACCAGGGGUGGAACCUGCGGCUUAAUUUGACUCAACACGGGGAAACUCACCAGGUCCAGACACAGUGAGGAUUGACAGAUUGAGAGCUCUUUCUUGAUUCUGUGGGUGGUGGUGCAUGGCCGUUCUUAGUUGGUGGAGUGAUUUGUCUGCUUAAUUGCGAUAACGAACGAGACCUUAACCUGCUAAAUAGCCCGUACUGCUUUGGCAGUUCGCCGGCUUCUUAGAGGGACUAUCGG